GACGAACGCUGGCGGCGCGCUUAACACAUGCAAGUCGUGCGGUGUCGAAGGCAAGUCUUACGACAAGCCUUCGACACAGCGGCGAACGGGUGAGUAACACGUGAGUAGCUGUCCUAAGGAGGGGGAUAACGCCUGGAAACGGGUGCUAAUACCCCAUAUGCCUCGCAAGAGGUGAAAGUGUACUUGCUACAGCCUUAGGGUGUGCUCGCGGCCUAUCAGCUAGUUGGUGAGGUAACGGCUCACCAAGGCUAAGACGGGUAGCCGGCCUGAGAGGGUGUACGGCCACACUGGAAUUGAGAUACGGUCCAGACUCCUACGGGAGGCAGCAGUGGGGAAUCUUGGGCAAUGGGCGAAAGCCUGACCCAGCGACGCCGCGUUGGGGAUGAAGCCCUUCGGGGCGUAAACCCAUGUUGUAGGGGACGAAGAAAGUGACGGUACUACCCGAGGAAGCCCCGGCUAACUACGUG
rnacentral:rRNA from 1 species